CAGCCGCCGCGGGAAUACGGAGGGAGCUAGCGUUGUUCGGAAUUACUGGGCGUAAAGCGCGCGUAGGCGGUUACUCAAGUCAGGGGUGAAAUCCCGCAGCUCAACUGCGGAACUGCCUUUGAUACUGGGUAUCUUGAGUAUGGAAGAGGUUAGUGGAAUUGCGAGUGUAGAGGUGAAAUUCGUAGAUAUUCGCAGGAACACCAGUGGCGAAGGCGGCUAACUGGUCCAUAACUGACGCUGAGGUGCGAAAGCGUGGGGAGCAAACAGGAUUAGAUACCCCUAUAGUCCCUGUCUCUUAUAC
rnacentral:rRNA from 1 species